AUUGCAAACUGGGGAAGUGGGGUACUGAUCUGUUUUUUCCUUUCAGUUUGCAAAAAGGAAAUGGGAUGUGGAAGUCUGUGCACUGGGCUAUAAGCACUCAGAAACCUAUACAUGCUUAUUCU